UGUCUACACGUAUAAACUACUCUGUCUACACGUAUAAAGUACUCUGUCUACACAGUUUAUACGUGUAGACAGAGUACUUUAUACGUGUAGACAGAGUACUUUAUACGUGUAGACAG
rnacentral:pre_miRNA from 1 species